rnacentral:rRNA from 1 species
AACGAACGCUGGCGGCAGGCCUAACACAUGCAAGUCGAACGGCCGCACAGUAAGAGCGUGCUCUUAUGGGUGGCGAGUGGGGGACGAGUGAGGAGUACAUCGGAACCUACUUUAUCGGGGGGGAUAACGGAGGGAGACUUAAGCUAGUACCGUAUAUCACCUAAGGAUGAGAGCGGGGGAUCUUCGCACCUUGGGGGAGUGAAUGCGCCGAUGUCGGAUUAGCUAGUUGGGGGGUUAAAGGCCCACCAAGGCUACGAUCCGUAGCGGGACUGAGGGACUGGUCCGGCACCUGGGAACUGAGACACGGCCCCGACUCCUGCGGUAGGCACCAGUGGGGAAUAUUGGACAAGGGGGGCAAGCCUGAUCCAGCCAUACCGCGUGGGUGAUGAAGGCCUCCGGGUUGUAAAGCCCUUUUGUUGGGAAAGAAAAGCAGCAGGUUAAUACCCCGCUGUUCUGACGGUACCCAAAGAAUAAGCACCGGCUAACUUCGUG